GUGCACAUAUACUAAAAUUGGAUGAUACACAGACAAUUAGCAUGGCACCUAUGCAAGGAUGAAACACAGAUUCAUGAAGAGUUCCAUAUUUUA
ensembl:snRNA U6 U6 spliceosomal RNA